ACCUUCUAAUUAUGAAAUGUUCUAGAACUAUGGAGUGUGAUCAUUAUAACAUCACUAUUGUGACAAUGGCACCAGAAAACAGUUCUCAUUGUCUUUCUUUGGACUAACAUCCAUCUAAAGGUGCACAGCAAUACUGCCAUCACCCUGGUGCAGACUAUUGUCUGCACAAACUGGAUUAUUGCUAGUUGCUCUGACUAUCAUUGGUCUCUUCUUGCUCCAGUCCAUUCUCCACUCAACUAUCAAAGUGAUUUUUCUAAAGCACCAGUCUGAUCUCAUCAUUCUCCAGCCCCUUACUCCAACACAAGUCAAAUAACUGCAGUGGCUCCCAUGCCUUGGAUGCUCUCCCUCUUCAUUUCCUUCUACAAUGGAACCAAUAUGUUCUAAGAAGCUUCUCAAAAGUCGAACAUUGUGGUUAAUUUGAAACCCCGUUAUUCAGUAAUUAUUUCUUAUACCAAUAUACAGAGGCAUUUGAAAACUUUUCUUAGGCUUAUCAAAGCUUCUAGCAUCACUAUUCUUGGACUUUGGGGCCAUUAUCAAUAAAGAAAUAGUGUUAAUGAAGCAAAGAGAAGCACUGCUCUGAUGCAGACUCUACUUGUUACAAAUGAGAACAACAGAAAAAGACUGAAGCAGUGCUAAUGUUUGGUGCCAAACAGUGUAAUGACUCACUGAUUUCUCAGAAUGAGAACAAGUGAUUAGCCGAACUGCUGACAGAUUUUACACUGUUUGGGAAAGGGGUAUUAAUUUAGUGCAUAAUUAAAACUUUUUUAUUUUGUUAUUUU